CUCCCUACUGGCCGCUCGAAGCUUGAAGCUGCAGUUCACUUUCGCGAAUGUAAGGAACCCAGCUUCUGUGUGGUGGGCACUGAGAGCAGAACCGCAUUGAGUCGGAGUGGAGCACAGAAGUGUAGGUCCUUUUGCGCUGUUUCAAGCUAAACCCGUGUCAGUGAUGCCGUACAGAAGUUACAGAAUGGGACGCCACCCCAAACAUUACGUCAUCCGCUGACCAUUUCCUUGCGGUCUUCCCACCGUCUAAAUCGCCAUAUAAUCUGAUGGAUGGGGUCCUCGCGCGGUUCAGCUCAUGGGCGACAGCGUAACCCGUCGCUCCUCCCUCUGCGGGAGGGCGUGGACAGGGCACGGGAUUUGGAGCGUGGAAGGAAUCGGGACCUAAAGGAGUCCCAGGACACCAGAACCAGGACUCCCCGGCGCACCCGGAGAGUUUCCGAGCUCCUUUGAAGUAUGAAUCAGAACUUCUGGAUGGGAAUCCUGGAGCCACCACUUGCCCUAUGGUCGCAAUGGGCAAGUCGCUCAACCUCCCAGAUCCUGUUUUCUCAUGAGUAAAACGGGGAUUAUAAUACCCACCUGACAAUAUUAUUUUUGUGAGAAUUAAAUGAGUUUAGAAUGUAAA
rnacentral:antisense_RNA from 1 species